UAAGGAAUAUUGGUCAAUGGGCGGAAGCCUGAACCAGCCAUGCCGCGUGCAGGAUGACUGCCCUAUGGGUUGUAAACUGCUUUUGUCCAGGAAUAAACCUAGAUACGUGUAUCUAGCUGAAUGUACUGGAAGAAUAAGGAUCGGCUAACUCCGUGCCAGCAGCCGCGGUAAUACGGAGGAUCCGAGCGUUAUCCGGAUUUAUUGGGUUUAAAGGGUGCGUAGGCGGCCUAUUAAGUCAGGGGUGAAAUACGGUGGCUCAACCAUCGCAGUGCCUUUGAUACUGAUGGGCUUGAAUCCAUUUGAAGUGGGCGGAAUAAGACAAGUAGCGGUGAAAUGCAUAGAUAUGUCUUAGAACUCCGAUUGCGAAGGCAGCUCACUAAGCUGGUAUUGACGCUGAUGCACGAAAGCGUGGGGAUCGAACAGGAUUAGAUACCCUGGUAGUCCACGCCCUAAACGAUGAUAACUCGAUGUUGGCGAUAGACAGCCAGCGUCCAAGCGAAAGCGUUAAGUUAUCCACCUGGGGAGUACGCCCGCAAGGGUGAAACUCAAAUGAAUUGACGGGGUCAUAGCUGUUUCCU
rnacentral:rRNA from 1 species